rnacentral:rRNA from 1 species
UCGCUACUACCGAUUGAAUGCUUUAAUGAGUGUGAUGGACGGCGGACUUGCAUUGGGUUUCCAGUGCUUGUCUACUGAAAAUCAAGCAAAUUUGAGCAUUUAGAGGAAGUAA